CAGUAGCCACGGGAAUACGAAGGGGGCUAGCGUUGCUCGGAAUUACUGGGCGUAAAGGGAGCGUAGGCGGACAUUUAAGUCAGGGGUGAAAUCCCGGGGCUCAACCUCGGAAUUGCCUUUGAUACUGGGUGUCUUGAGUAUGAGAGAGGUAUGUGGAACUCCGAGUGUAGAGGUGAAAUUCGUAGAUAUUCGGAAGAACACCAGUGGCGAAGGCGACAUACUGGCUUAUUACUGACGCUGAGGCUCGAAAGCGUGGGGGGCAAACAGGAUUAGAUACCCGGGUAGUCCCUGUCUCUUAUAC
rnacentral:rRNA from 1 species